UGCGUGGGUGUAUCGAGAUAGACCCUACAGCGACAGAAACAAUGUUUGUUUACAAAACAAGUUAGACCCUUUAGACAUGUUAAAGCAUUAUUAUUAUAUAUCUCAUGAAUUCCAUCAACAUUACAUUAUGUGUUAUUGUGGAUUUGCCGGCUACUUGUAUUCUAUCGGUCGCUUCAGUACACGAAAAGAAAUUUAGUGAUUUAAUAUAUAAGGUUUAAUUGAUAUUUUUCAUUAGUUACACCGUAAUUGAUUUCAUAACAUCAAUUAAUUAUGUUUAUUUGGAAACAUAAUGAAAGCUAUAUCAUUUUCUUAUACCCUGUAUAAGUUUUGUGUUAUGGUGAAAAAGUAUAAGUUUUAACUAAUACAGAAUAUAAGAUCGUGCUUUGAACAUUUACUCCAAUACAAACAAACGUUGUCGCCGUAAAUUCAACGGAGGAAGCCAUUGUUAUCAUCGCUUCGCUGAAAAGUGUGCUUUCCUCUGUUUCUUUUAAAACUCAGGGAAAACUAAUCGAAUGGCAGAGCAAAUUGCGCAAAAAGGAAGUGCUUAAAGAUCACGGAAAACGGCCCCAAUAAAGUUCCCUACCAUCGCAAUACUCAUUCCGGCGCUUUCGAGUUCCUUGGCCUGGGAAAAUAAAGGUCCACUGGCAACUAGAGGAAGAUCGUCAUCGUUGUUGCCUUCUCGAGAGCGGACCAGCCUUGAGCUGAACAUGAAUGUACGCCGGAGAGCUGAAAGGGAUCACCAACUGCGUCGCUCUGGGAUCCGGUGGAAGGCAACUGCUGUGGAAGCAAGCGCAGUGGAAUUCUAUGGGGGAAGAUUCCUCCAGCAUGAAGCAGCUUUGGGAGGGUCGUAGAACCGAUUCAUGUUCGUUUGCUAAGUUAACGUAACGGCAAUUUUAAUGAGAGAAUAAAAUUAUUUCGAGUGUUUCAAAAUCUGUUUUCGUUUUUUUUUUCACCAUGAAAUUAAAUUAUUAAGUUUCCAUAACCAAAAUAUACGGCAAUAAAAUUCAUCAGGUUCAACGCAUACGUACUAUAACACUUCUAAUACAAGUUAUUAAAAAUACUAAAUAACACUCAUAAGCUAGAAUUAUAGAUUUUAUUAGUUGAAUGUUAUGCUUCAUAAUACACUUACAGAUGAGAUAUAUGAGAAAAACGAAAUGGCAAAAAAGUAUAACAUUUUCUUAUACAUUCAAUAUGGAAAUUUUUUUUCGUGUAUGGCCUCCAAAGUAGCCGUUUUAUAAAAAGAGUAACUUAAAAAUGUUUUUAAUCAUUUUUAUUGUAUGCGCUAUUUCUUGUUGCCACUAGCUAUUCAGCGACAUUUAUUUUUUGACAAUCAAGUUGACUUUUAUAUGAAAACGGCUACUUUGUAACGACUACUCAAGUAACCGGUAGAAUACAAGUAGCCGGUAAAUCCACAAUAAAUUUCAGCUGAAACACAAUUAAUUUUACACGAUUUUGCCUACACUGAAAGGAGCGUUGCAGUAAUGACAAGCACAAAAAUGUUUUUAAAUUUACCAUGGCAAAACAUGAUCAUCGACCCACCAACGCUUCUUGUGUGCGUUUUGUUUCUUCUCACAUCAACCGGUUCGAUAGCUGAGUGGUAGCGUGCGAGCCUGGUGAUGUCAAGAUUCUUGGUUCGAAUCCGGUUGCCAACAGAAACUUUUUUUUAUUGAAAAUCGAGUCCAUGGUAAAAUUGAAAACAUAAUUCUGUUGAAUUAAAACGAAACUCAGUCUGCACAAAUUUAGUGGCGUUGUGCAUUUAAAUUGACCCUCAGAAUAGUAAUUUUCACCGCAGGCCGCCGUUCAGUGUAAACAGCCCUCACGGUGCAGCCAAACGUCAGAGAACAAGCGUCGGACAUAUUCACGCAAAAACGGCUACACUGAAAAAAAUUGACACGAUUGAUUCACGUGUUUUGACUUAUGAGCUGAUUCAAAAACGAAAACGUUAGACUGAUGUGUUAUUCCCGUUUAUUAUAAGUUUCCUACACAUUACAAUAAUCUGAUGCAUCACAUAUAUUCCACGGCAAGGCCCACAUCGUCCAAUCACAUGUAAUUCAUUUCGAUAUCGUGUUGAUUAAAUU